rnacentral:lncRNA from 1 species
AGCUACGAUGAUCUUUUAUGCUUUGAAAUGGAACUAAAGACAGCUCGUCCUGGUUGCUGGACUGAGAAGCGUAAAACAGAAUCUGAAGAAUGGCGUCUGAGUUGCUCACUGAGACCAAUCCUGUCCCUGUAGAGAAUACAAAAAUGCCUGCUGGUCUGUAAGGACUCAGGUCAAGGAAGCUGGAAAAAGUUUCCAGAAACGCAUCUCCAUAUCCAAUCAGUUCACAGACAGCUUGGUGAGCAACAGUUGCUGUCUCUUUCAUCACCGUUGUGUAGAACCCUGGAAUGCUCUGGUCGUUUUCUUGGAUAGCAACUCUAGGAUCCAACUGGGAAAGAACGUGAGGCAGAACUUGCUUUGUUGAUGCUUUUCUAGCAAGCAUUAUCCGAAGGACAAUAUCAAAUCUUGUGACGAAGUUGACGAAGAACCGGCUCCAGUUCUCUCUCCCAAGGGCGUGCUUGAAGACGUAGUCACCGACCAAAGGAGCUCCAAAUGUCAUACAAAGAGGCUCGGGGAGAGGGAAAUGCAAAACAUAAAUAAAACAUCUUAGUAAUAUUAGCUCUAACAUAUAUUUAGUUCAUUAAAGAUAUUUUGGUUUAUGUUAUUUAAAUUAUUUUAAAUUAUUUAGAUUGAUAUAAAUAUAUAUUAUGGUAUUUAAGAUUAUAUUUAAAAUUAAAAUUAUUGUAAUAUCAAAAUAACCUUUUUGUGAACUUUCCUUGUGAAUCACAAUAUGUGUAAUAUAUAUUUUCGUUUUAAAAAUUUAUAAGUGUUUCCUUUACUAAUAUUUUUUAUUUUUAUCAUAGAUUUUAUCUAGAAAUAAUAUAAAUAAAAUUAAAAUUAAAAAAAAAAAUCAUUACAAUUUUUGAGAAAAAUAUAUGUAAUUAUAUUUAUGCAAUUUUUUUUAUAAUAUUAUAGAUAUUUUCUUCAGUCAAAGUUAAGGAAGGUUAUGUGCUGCUGUGUUCAUGCUAUGUGAUAAGGCUUUAGGCUUAAGAGUCAUGUUUAUAUAUUCUAAGAUCAUUGUAAAGUAGAAAUCAAAUUUGACAUUAGAACAGAGAGCUAUUACAUUAUUUCACGAUGAUCUUAGGACAUGUUUCUUAUUUCCAAGAUCAUCCUGAUGUGGAAAUCAAACUCUAAAACAUUAGAACAAAGAGCUAUUACAUCACUUUAUUGCACAAAUGUAAACAAGGAAGUUACAAUAGUUGAACAAUCUGACAACUUUCAGGUUCAAGUGGAUCUUGUUUCACCCAUACGUCCUUGCAGCAGAGAAGAGCUUUUGUGUUCCUCAGGAAGUGAAUGCCACCACUUUCUAAAUGUUCAACCCUCCAGAAAUAUUUGCUCAUCAUCUAUCUCCUGUCCGUGAUCCACCUUUCAACUAACUUUUCAAAUGUUGUCUCAUUUCGGUUUAUGUUAUUUAAAUUAUUUUAAAUUAUUUAGAUUGGUAUAAAUAUAUAUUAUUUUAUUAUUUAUGAUAAUAUUCAAAAGUAAAAUUAUUUUUGAUAUCAAAAUUACUUUUUUGUGAACUUUCCUUGCAAUGAAAUCCCAUUAUGUGUAAUAUAUAUUUUCGUUUUUAAAACUUAUAAGUGUUUCCUUUGCUAGUUUUUUUUUUAUUUUUAUUAUAGAUUUUUUCUAGAAAUAAUAUAAAGAAAAAUAAAAGCAAAAUUAAAAAAAAAAAUCAUGGAAAUUUUUGAGAAAAAUAUAUGUAAUUAUAUUUAGGUAAUUUUCUUAAUAUUAUAGAUAUUUUCCUCUUCAUGCUAUGUGAUAUGCUUUAGUCUUAAGAGUCAUGUUUAUAUAUUCUAAGAUCACUGUAAAGUAGAAAUCAAAUUUGACAUUAGAACAGAGGGCUAUUACAUUAUUUCACGAUGAUCUUAGGACAUGUUUCUUAUCUCUAAGAUCAUCCUGAUGUGGAAAUCGAACUCUAAAACAUAAGAACAGAGAGCUAUUACAUCACUUUAUUGCACAAAUGUAAACAAGGAAGUUACAAUGGUUGAACAAUCUGACAACUUUCGGGUUCAAGUGGAUCUUGUUUCACCCAUACGUUGUCGCAGCAGAGAAGAGCGUUUGUGUUCCUCGGGAAGUGAACGCCACCACUUUGUAAAUGUUGAACCGUCCAGAAAUAUUUGCUCAUCAUCUAUCUCCCUGUUUGUGAUCCACCCUUCAACUAACUUUUCAAACCGUUUAACCUCAACACUUUCAUAUGGUUUUCCCUUGAGUUCUUCAACGUCAGCCCAAAAGCAAGAUCCGCAACCAGAUUCCUCUAUCUCCUCUGAACUCUUUCCUGCCUUCAAUAGUUCAUGCUCGUACCCUCUCUGAGCGUGUUUGUAUCGGUUUGGUCUUCCUUUACGCAUAUAAGGCCCAGUGUCUUCAUUCUUUAAGUGUCUGUGGUAGUUUGAAAUAUCAAGUGGUUCGAUUAAUAUGCGGUAGCGAGUUGAUAACUCGAUCCACUCUCUGUGACCUUCAAAUCCAUCUGGAAGUAGACCUUUCUUCACUAAACCGAGCACCUCGUCAAAAAGACCAGCUAACUCAGCUCUACUGACGUUGGCUUUGAAGUCUUUCUCCUCAUUAGAAUACUUGAAGGAAUCAUAGUACCCGUUUUUAUGAGUUUUACACCUCGGCUUGUAUUCAUCCUCUAUCCACGUCAGCUUCUCUACUAUUUUUGGCAGUUUGUUGUAGAUCUUGGUCUGGUUAUCAACUCGUUGCUUCUCUGCCUCAAAUGCAGCACAGACGCAUUGUCUCGCUCUUGUGCUCUGCAAAAGAAGAAAGAAACAUCAAUGUUAGCGAAAUAUUCCGGGCCGGGUUCGGUUUCACUUCUUUACAUACCAAAAUUUUGGAUCCAUUCGGAUAUUUUACCAGCUUCAGAUACGAAUCGGGUGUGGUACAACUUUUUAGAUCGGGAUAACUUUUUGGGUCGGAUUCGGUUCGGGUAUUUCACCCGGCCCUAAAUGUUGCUACUACAAAUGACAAGCUAUGGAGAGAAAAGAGAGAGAGAUUUUACCAGUCCGAGGUCACGGAGGAUAGGAUCUCCAUCUAAAGGCAAGUGAUGCAAAUCCAGAUGGUUCAACGGUUUCAUGGCCAUUGAGUGUACCAUUUCUUCAUAGCUACGAUGAUCUUUUAUGCUUUGAAAUGGAACUAAAGACAGCUCGUCCUGGUUGCUGGACUGAGAAGCGUAAAACAGAAUCUGAAGAAUGGCGUCUGAGUUGCUCACUGAGACCAAUCCUGUCCCUGUAGAGAAUACAAAAAUGCCUGCUGGUCUGUAAGGACUCAGGUCAAGGAAGCUGGAAAAAGUUUCCAGAAACGCAUCUCCAUAUCCAAUCAGUUCACAGACAGCUUGGUGAGCAACAGUUGCUGUCUCUUUCAUCACCGUUGUGUAGAACCCUGGAAUGCUCUGGUCGUUUUCUUGGAUAGCAACUCUAGG